UUACACAAUAUGAAGGCGGGCUGGAACCUCUCGGGGUUACAGCCUUGCUGAAUUAUUCACCCUUGUCUUUUGCGUACUUCUUGUUUCCUUGGUGGGUUCGCCCACCACUAGGACAAACAUAAACCUUUUGUAAUUGCAAUCAGCGUCAGUAACAAAUUAAUAACUACAACUUUCAACAACGGAUCUCUUGGUUCUGGCAUCGAUGAAGAACGCAGCGAAAUGCGAUAAGUAGUGUGAAUUGCAGAAUUCAGUGAAUCAUCGAAUCUUUGAACGCACAUUGCGCCCUUUGGUAUUCCAAAGGGCAAGCCUGUUCGAGCGUCAUUUGUACCCUCAAGCUUUGCUUGGUGUUGGGCGUCUUGUCUCUAGCUUUGCUGGAGACUCGCCUUAAAGUAAUUGGCAGCCGGCCUACUGGUUUCGGAGCGCAGCACAAGUCGCACUCUCUAUCAGCAAAGGUCUAGCAUCCAUUAAGCCUUUUUUCAACUUUUGACCUCGGAUCAGGUAGGGAUACCCGCUGAACUUAAGCAUAUCAAUAAACGAGGGAAAAUNACAAAAUUAUGAAGGCGGGCGGNAACCCUCGGGNUAAGCCUGCNGAAUAUUACCUGUUUUUGCUCUCUGUUUCUUGUGGGUGCCAUAGACAAAUACUUUGUAUGAUACUGUACAAUAUCUACUUAACGAUCUGGUGGCUAUAAAAACAAAUCAUAAUUUGUUUAAUCAAAUUUA
rnacentral:rRNA from 1 species